rnacentral:rRNA from 1 species
CCUACGGGAGGCAGCAGUGAGGAAUAUUGGUCAAUGGGCGCGAGCCUGAACCAGCCAAGUCGCGUGAGGGAUGACGGUCCUACGGAUUGUAAACCUCUUUUGCCGGGGAGCAAGCGUGCGUUCGUGAACGCGCGUCGAGAGUACCCGGAGAAAAAGCAUCGGCUAACUCCGUGCCAGCAGCCGCGGUAAUACGGGGGGUGCAAGCGUUGUCCGGAAUCAUUGGGCGUAAAGAGUUCGUAGGCGGCACGUAAAGUCUGGUGUUAAAGGCAGAGGCUCAACUUCUGUACGGCACUGGAUACUUGCGAGCUAGAAUGCGGUAGAGGUAAAGGGAAUUCCUGGUGUAGCGGUGAAAUGCUUAGAUAUCAGGAGGAACAUCGGUGGCGUAAGCGCUUUACUGGGCCGUAAUUGACGCUGAGGAACGAAAGCCAGGGUAGCAAAUGGGAUUAGAUACCCGUGUAGUC